UGUGUAUAGUCAUACCACCCUGAAUGCAACCAGUCCCGUCUGAUCUUGUAAGCUAAGCAGAGUUGAGCCUGGUUUGUACUUGGAUGGGAGAAAGACACAGUUAUGCUGACCUGGAAGAAGAGCAAUAAUCAUAU
rnacentral:rRNA from 10 species